rnacentral:lncRNA from 1 species
AAUUUUUUUUUUAUAAAUAGAAGAAAAAUGUGAGGGAAAAAAGGGAGAGAGAAAGAAAAAAGAGGGAGGAGGGAAUGGAGAGAAAUUUAUUUUCUUUUUUUAGGAUAAGAGAAUUUCUACUUGUGUCAUUCUUUUUUCGUCUUUCAUUCGAAAAAAACAGCAGCUUCACAACCCAAAAACAAUCUUUAAACCUUCAUAGAACAACCCUUUUAAUACCAUAAACUACCAUCCAAACCCAGUCAAAACAGUGAGGUUUUUAGUUGAGGUCGUCGGCGAGUUUCGAUGCUCCGUUUGAGAUCUUGCGUGCGGUCUGAAUGAGUUUAAAAUUCAAAGUUGUAAAACCGUAAAGUUUUAGAUUCAACUUUUGAGGCCCACUUCUUAUCUUGUUUUGAUUAAUGAUAUGAGAUGCUUAUUUUUUUUUUGGUGUUCAUUUAUAUCUUGAAUGAAUGAAAUUAUUCUCUGUUAAACAUGCCAAUUUUUGAGCUUCCUCUUUGUAUAUUUAUGAAUGGUUUAAUGAAAUUUGCUAAUUGAUAAGUGAGUUGUGAUUGUUUAUAAAAUAAAAAAAAUAAUUUCUUAUUGAAAUGGAAGCUCAAGCAAUUUUAUGUCUCUAUUUGGUGGGAUAAGGUGGGAUAUCCUGAAUUAAGUCUGAGAUUAAAUUUAUACCUUGUUUGGUUGACAGUAUAAAUUUAUCCCAGGAUAAAUUUAUACUUCCAACCAAAUAAGGUAUAAUUUAUCCUACAUCUUAUCCUACGUUAUACCUCAUAUCAAACACCACAUACCAAACGACCCCUUAAUAUUAAAGAAGUAAUAGUUUAUUACUUCUUUUUAAUACUACUUACUCCGAUCUACUUUAGUUGAUUUUUUGAUCUUUUUGUGACUCAUAAUAUUUGAUUGUUUCAUGCAUCGAGAGAUAAUUAAUUUCUUUUUUUCAAAGUUACCCUUGAAAUAUCUAUUAUAUUUUUAAUGAAUAAAUUCAAAAAGUUUAAAGGUUAAUAUAGUUAAUUUUAUUGUUAAUUAAUGUUUAAAAAUAAAUUCUUUAAUAUGUAUAAAAACCGAAAAAAACAAAAUAUCACGUAGAACGGAAGAGGUAAUUCAAUAAUUAAAAAACUUUUAAUAAUGGUAACUUAGUAAAUGAUACCUUAUAAUACUUAUUAUUUUUUUUAAUGAACAUAAAAAGAGCUAAAACGGCCUUUAAAAUGGGACGUAUGGAAUAAUUUUCAUAAUCAAAUUCAGAUAAAUUUCGUUAACUAAUAACCUGACCAUGCACCGUAGAAAGCUUAAAGAAGAUACAUUACAAACAAAAAUUCCCCCAUCACACCUCGGAGACGAAAACAAGUCAAUAUACACCUCCAUUAAUCCGAGUAACUAAUCUUUCAUCUUUUCAUUUGAAACCAACGCAUAAUUUUACAGGCGUACGUGCUCUACCUAGUUUGAAAAUGGAGAUGAAGCAUCAAAUUAAACUCCAUUUCCCCUACAAUCACUGGGAACUGGGAACGGUAAUGGAAGCUGAUUCGAGAAGUUUCUGGGCCAAAGAGAGUUGAUCCAUCAAAUGGAUGACACGUGUCCUGUAGGUCCGAGCCUGAUCAACAGCCUCGGCCUCAAGUUCACCGAGCUGAGAGCAAAGGCGCUCUUCAGCCUCCUCCGCCACCCUCAGCCUUUCCCAUGUUUUCUGCAAUUCCUGCUUCAUUUUCUCUUCCCUCUCAAUGCUCUUUUUUAAUUCUUUCUCCAACUCCUCAUUUCUUCUCCUGAGUAUCUCACUCUCCGGCAUGGCGGAGAUGUCACGGCGAUGGGGCUUUGUUUGGUUAAAAGGCACAGCAAUUGUCGAAAACAUUUUAACUGAAUUAGUUGAGAAAAUAGUGGAAGCAAAAAUAGCUAUUAUUAUUAUUACUAUUGAGCUUAAAAGAAAGAAAGAAAAGGUAGGAGAUUGAUUUGUGGUUUAUGCUGAUAUGAAAACAGUUUAGUUGGAAGUGCUUUUAUAGAUCCAAGAUUAACAUGUCCAGGUUCAAUGUAUCUAACUUCUAGUAUUGUUUACGUUGAUAUUUUUGUAGUGCUACAAUUAUUGAUUCAGCUAAAUUUCUUUUUUCAAUUUUCUUUUUUGUAAUUCAGGGGCUUAUUGCGUAAUUAGAGAGCAGAGAGUAUUUGUCUUCUUUUUAUUAGCACCAGUGCACGUUAGCUAUCUUCCAGGCCCUAGCGUCACAUGAGUAUUUUUUUCGGAAAAAU